rnacentral:tRNA from 1 species
GGGGAUAUGGCGAAAUUGGUACAC